rnacentral:rRNA from 1 species
UACGGGGGGAGCAAGCGUUGUUCGGAUUUACUGGGCGUAAAGGGCGCGUAGGCGGUCAGCACAAGUCAGUUGUGAAAUCUCCGGGCUUAACUCGGAAAGGUCAACUGAUACUGUGCGACUAGAGUGCGGAAGGGGCAACUGGAAUUCUCGGUGUAGCGGUGAAAUGCGUAGAUAUCGAGAGGAACACCUGCGGCGAGGGCGGGUUGCUGGGCCGACACUGACGCUGAUGCGCGAAAGCCAGGGGAGCGAACGGG